rnacentral:lncRNA from 1 species
UAGAGAGAGGAAGCUUUACACUAACAACUCAAGCUCAGAGUGGUAUCCUUGGAGGUCAGGUAAGUGGAGCAAUGUCCCUUUCCAUCAUCCCGCGACGUUCGAGACUUUGGCUAUGGAUCCUGAGAAGAAAGAAAGGAUCAAGAAGGAUCUGAUAAAGUUUAGCAAAGGGAAAGAUUAUUACAAGAAGGUUGGGAAGCCAUGGAAGAGAGGCUACCUCUUGUUCGGUCCCCCCGGGACAGGGAAAUCGACGAUGAUAUCCGCGAUAGCGAACUUCUUGGACUAUGAUGUGUAUGAUCUUGAGCUAACCACCGUGAAGGACAACUCAGA